GGUAGCCAAGGAUGACUUGCCUGCAUCUUCAUACCAAUGUAAAUGUAUAUCAAGGAUGACAAAGUUUGAUUUUUUACAUUGCGUUUGCAUACUGUUAGGCAGUUUCCUUGGCUAUU
rnacentral:pre_miRNA from 1 species